UCAUACGGAGGAUCCAAGCGUUAUCCGGAUUUACUGGGCGUAAAGAGUUGCGUAGGUGGUUCGCCAAGUUUCCGUUUAAAUGCCAAGGCUCAACCUUGGAAGUGACGGAAAAACUGGUGAACUCGAGAACGAGAGAGGUGGCUGGAAUUCCCUGUGUAGGAGUGAAAUCCGUAGAUAUAGGGAGGAACACCGAUGGCGUAGGCAGGCCACUGGCUCGUUUCUGACACUGAGGCACGAAAGCGUGGGGAGCGAACGGGAUUAGAUACCCCGGUAGUCCACGCCGUAAACGAUGGAUGCUAGCUGUAAGGAGUAUCGACCCUUCUUGUAGCGAAGCUAACGCGUUAAGCAUCCCGCCUGGGGAGUACGGUCGCAAGAUUA
rnacentral:rRNA from 1 species